rnacentral:rRNA from 1 species
AGGCGACGAUGCGUAGCCGACCUGAGAGGGUGAACGGCCACACUGGGACUGAGACACGGCCCAGACUCCUACGGGAGGCAGCAGUAGGGAAUCUUCCGCAAUGGGCGACAGCCUGACGGAGCAACGCCGCGUGAGUGAUGAAGGUUUUCGGAUCGUAAAGCUCUGUUGCCAGGGAAGAACGUCCGGUAGAGUAACUGUUACCGGAGUGACGGUACCUGAGAAGAAAGCCCCGGCUAACUAC